rnacentral:rRNA from 1 species
CGGUUAAAAAGCUCGUAGUUGGAUUUCUGUUGAGGACGGCCGGUCCGCACUAUGUGCGUGUAUCUGGUUCGGCCUCGGCAUCCUCUCGAAAGCCGUUUCUGCGCUUGAUUGCGUGGUUCGGACUUCGGGACUUUUACUUUGAGGAAAUUAGAGUGUUCACGGCAGGCAAGCGCCUUGAAUAUAUUAGCAUGGAAUAACAAUAUAGGAUCUUGGUCCUAUUUUGUUGGUUUCUAGGGCUAAGAUAAUGAUUAAUAGGGACAAUUGGGGGCAUUCGUAUUAACGCGUCAGAGGUGGAAUUCUUGGAUUGCGUUACGACGAACUACUGCGAAAGCAUUUGCCAAGGAUGUUUUCAUUGAUCAAGAACGAAAGUAAGGGGAUCGAAGAUGAUUAGAUACCGUCGUAGUCUUUACCAUAAACUAUGCCAACUAGAGAUGGGGCUGCGGUUUAUUUAUGACCCGCUCCGCACCUUAUGAGAAAUCAAAGUUUUUGGGUUCCGGGGGGAGUAUGGUCGCAAGGCUGAAACUUAAAGGAAUUGACGGAGGGCACCACCAGGAGUGGAGCCUGCGGCUUAAUCUGACUCAACACGGGAAAACUCA